rnacentral:rRNA from 1 species
CCUACGGUGGCAGCAGUGGGGAAUAUUGCACAAUGGGCGCAAGCCUGAUGCAGCCAUGCCGCGUGUGUGAAGAAGGCCUUCGGGUUGUAAAGCACUUUCAGCGGGGAGGAAGGCGUUAAGGUUAAUAACCUUGUCGAUUGACGUUACCCGCAGAAGAAGCACCGGCUAACUCCGUGCCAGCAGCCGCGGUAAUACGGAGGGUGCAAGCGUUAAUCGGACUUACUGGGCGUAAAGCGCACGCAGGCGGUCUGUCAAGUCGGAUGUGAAAUCCCCGGGCUCAACCUGGGAACUACAUUCGAAACUGGCAGGCUAGAGUCUUGUAGAGGGGGGUAGAAUUCCAGGUGUAGCGGUGAAAUGCGUAGAGAUCUGGAGGAAUACCGGUGGCGAAGGCGGCCCCCUGGACAAAGACUGACGCUCAGGUGCGAAAGCGUGGGGAGCAAACAGGAUUAGAUACCCCUGUAGUC